rnacentral:rRNA from 1 species
GGUUAAGUGACUAAGCGUACACGGUGGAUGCCUUGGCAGUCAGAGGCGAUGAAGGACGUAUUAACUUGCGAUAAGCCCAGAUUAGGCAGUAAAAGCCACUUGAGUCUGGGAUUUCCGAAUGGGGAAACCCACUUACAUAAGUAAGUAUCCUUAACUGAAUACAUAGGUUAAGGAGGCGAACCGGGGGAACUGAAACAUCUAAGUACCCCGAGGAAAAGAAAUCAACCGAGAUUCCGAAAGUAGCGGCGAGCGAAAUUGGACUAGCCCUUAAGCUUUUAAUGAUACAGGUGAAGGCUCUGGAAAGUGCCGCGAUACAGGGUGAUAGCCCCGUAACCGACAUGUCAUUUUAAGUGAAAUCGAGUAAGGCGGGACACGUGAUAUCCUGUCUGAAUAUGGGGGGACCAUCCUCCAAGGCUAAAUACUACUGACUGACCGAUAGUGAACCAGUACCGUGAGGGAAAGGCGAAAAGAACCCCUGUGAGGGGAGUGAAAUAGAACCUGAAACCGUGUACGUACAAGCAGUAGGAGCCUCCUUUGUGGGGUGACUGCGUACCUUUUGUAUAAUGGGUCAGCGACUUAUAUUCAGUGGCAAGGUUAACCAUUUAGGGGAGCCGUAGGGAAACCGAGUCUUAACUGGGCGUUUAGUCUCUGGAUAUAGACCCGAAACCAGGUGAUCUAGCCAUGGGCAGGUUGAAGGUUGAGUAACAUCAACUGGAGGACCGAACCGACUAAUGUUGAAAAAUUAGCGGAUGACUUGUGGCUAGGGGUGAAAGGCCAAUCAAACCUGGAGAUAGCUGGUUCUCCCCGAAAGCUAUUUAGGUAGCGCCUCGGACGAAUACUACUGGGGGUAGAGCACUGUUAAGGCUAGGGGGUCAUCCCGACUUACCAACCCUUUGCAAACUCCGAAUACCAGUAAGUACUAUCCGGGAGACACACGGCGGGUGCUAACGUCCGUCGUGGAGAGGGAAACAACCCAGACCGCCAGCUAAGGUCCCAAAUUAUAGCUAAGUGGGAAACGAUGUGGGAAGGCUAAAACAGCUAGGAUGUUGGCUUAGAAGCAGCCAUCAUUUAAAGAAAGCGUAAUAGCUCACUAGUCGAGUCGGCCUGCGCGGAAGAUGUAACGGGGCUAAGCUAUAAACCGAAGCUGCGGCUGCAUACUUUGUAUGCGGGGUAGGGGAGCGUUCUGUAAGCCGUUGAAGGUGUAUCGUAAGGUAUGCUGGAGGUAUCAGAAGUGCGAAUGCUGACAUGAGUAACGAUAAUGGGGGUGAAAAACCUCCACGCCGGAAGACCAAGGGUUCCUGUCCAACGUUAAUCGGGGCAGGGUAAGUCGACCCCUAAGGCGAGGCUGAAAAGCGUAGUCGAUGGGAAACGGGUUAAUAUUCCCGUACUUCUUACAAUUGCGAUGGGGGGACGGAGAAGGCUAGGUGGGCCUGGCGACGGUUGUCCAGGUUCAAGUGCGUAGGCUUGAGAGUUAGGUAAAUCCGGCUCUCUUUAAGGCUGAGACACGACGUCGAGCUGCUACGGCAGUGAAGUCAUUGAUGCCAUGCUUCCAGGAAAAGCCUCUAAGCUUCAGAUUGUAAGGAAUCGUACCCCAAACCGACACAGGUGGUCGGGUAGAGAAUACCAAGGCGCUUGAGAGAACUCGGGUGAAGGAACUAGGCAAAAUGGUACCGUAACUUCGGGAGAAGGUACGCUCCUGACGGUGAAGUCCCUAGCGGAUGGAGCUAUUAGGAGUCGCAGAUACCAGGUGGCUGCAACUGUUUAUUAAAAACACAGCACUGUGCAAAAUCGUAAGAUGACGUAUACGGUGUGACGCCUGCCCGGUGCCGGAAGGUUAAUUGAUGGGGUUAGUCUUUGGACGAAGCUCUUGAUCGAAGCCCCGGUAAACGGCGGCCGUAACUAUAACGGUCCUAAGGUAGCGAAAUUCCUUGUCGGGUAAGUUCCGACCUGCACGAAUGGCGUAAUGAUGGCCACGCUGUCUCCACCCGAGACUCAGUGAAAUUGAAAUCGCUGUGAAGAUGCAGUGUACCCGCGGCUAGACGGAAAGACCCCGUGAACCUUUACUACAGCUUGGCACUGAACAUUGAGCCUACAUGUGUAGGAUAGGUGGGAGGCUUUGAACCCGUGUCGCCAGAUACGGUGGAGCCAUCCUUGAAAUACCACCCUUGUAUGUUUGAUGUUCUAACUUAGCCCCAUUAUCUGGGGUGAGGACAGUGCCUGGUGGGUAGUUUGACUGGGGCGGUCUCCUCCCAAAGAGUAACGGAGGAGCACGAAGGUGGGCUAAUCACGGUUGGACAUCGUGAGGUUAGUGCAAUGGCAUAAGCCCGCUUGACUGCGAGAAUGACAAUUCGAGCAGGUGCGAAAGCAGGUCAUAGUGAUCCGGUGGUUCUGAAUGGAAGGGCCAUCGCUCAACGGAUAAAAGGUACUCCGGGGAUAACAGGCUGAUACCGCCCAAGAGUUCAUAUCGACGGCGGUGUUUGGCACCUCGAUGUCGGCUCAUCACAUCCUGGGGCUGAAGUCGGUCCCAAGGGUAUGGCUGUUCGCCAUUUAAAGUGGUACGCGAGCUGGGUUUAGAACGUCGUGAGACAGUUCGGUCCCUAUCUGCCGUGGGCGUUGGAGAAUUGAAAGGGGCUGCUCCUAGUACGAGAGGACCGGAGUGGACGAACCUCUGGUGUUCGGGUUGUCAUGCCAAUGGCAUUGCCCGGUAGCUAAGUUCGGAAUCGAUAACCGCUGAAAGCAUCUAAGCGGGAAGCGAGCCUUGAGAUGAGUUCUCCCUGGCAGUUUAACUGUCCUAAAGGGUUGUCGUAGACUACGACGUUGAUAGGCAGGGUGUGUAAGCGUUGUGAGGCGUUGAGCUAACCUGUACUAAUUGCCCGUGAGGCUUAACCAU